rnacentral:rRNA from 1 species
AGAGAAAGCGCCGGCUAACUACGUGCCAGCAGCCGCGGUAAUACGUAGGGCGCGAGCGUUGUCCGGAAUUAUUGGGCGUAAAGAGCUUGUAGGCGGUUUGUCGCGUCUGCUGUGAAAGGCCGGAGCUUAACUCCGUGUAUUGCAGUGGGUACGGGCAGACUAGAGUGCAGUAGGGGAGACUGGAAUUCCUGGUGUAGCGGUGGAAUGCGCAGAUAUCAGGAGGAACACCGAUGGCGAAGGCAGGUCUCUGGGCUGUAACUGACGCUGAGAAGCGAAAGCAUGGGGAGCGAACAGGAUUAGAUACCCUGGUAGUCCAUGCCGUAAACGUUGGGCACUAGGUGUGGGGGACAUUCCACGUUUUCCGCGCCGUAGCUAACGCAUUAAGUGCCCCGCCUGGGGAGUACGGCCGCAAGGCUAAAACUCAAAGAAGGCUAAAACUCAAAGGAAUUGACGGGGGCCCGCACAAGCGGCGGAGCAUGCGGAUUAAUUCGAUGCAACGCGAAGAACCUUACCAAGGCUUGACAUGCACGGCGGCACUGCAGAGAUGUGGUGGCAUUUGGUUGGUCGUGUGCAGGUGGUGCAUGGUUGUCGUCAGCUCGUGUCGUGAGAUGUUGGGUUAAGUCCCGCAACGAGCGCAACCCUUGCCCUAUGUUGCCAGCACGUGAUGGUGGGGACUCGUGGGGGACUGCCGGGGUUAACUCGGAGGAAGGUGGGGAUGACGUCAAAUCAUCAUGCCCCUUAUGUCUUGGGCUUCACGCAUGCUACAAUGGUUGGUACAGAGGGUUGCGAUACUGUGAGGUGGAGCGAAUCCCUUAAAGCCAGUCUCAGUUCGGAUUGGGGUCUGCAACUCGACCCCAUGAAGGUGGAGUCGCUAGUAAUCGCAGAUCAGCAACGCUGCGGUGAAUACGUUCUCGGGCCUUGUACACACCGCCCGUCACGUCACGAAAGUUGGUAACACCCGAAGCCCAUGGCCUAACCGCGUUUGUUGGCGAUUGGGACGAAGUCGUAACAAGGUAGCCGUACCGGAAGGUGCGGCUG